rnacentral:rRNA from 1 species
GGGCCCGCACAAGCGGUGGAGCAUGUGGUUUAAUUCGAUGAUACGCGAGGAACCUUACCAGGGCUUAAAUGUAGUCUGACAGGGGUGGAAACACCCCCUCCUUCGGGCAGAUUACAAGGUGCUGCAUGGUUGUCGUCAGCUCGUGCCAUGAGGUGUCAGGUUAAGUCCUAUAACGAGCGCAACCCCUGCCGUUAGUUGCCAGCAUGUAAUGAUGGGAACUCUAACGGGACUGCCGGUGCAAACCGCGAGGAAGGUGGGGAUGACGUCAAAUCAUCACGGCCCUUACGUCCUGGGCUACACACGUGCUACAAUGGCCGGUACAGAGGGCAGCCACACCGCAAGGUGGAGCGAAUCCUUAAAACCGGUCUC